rnacentral:rRNA from 1 species
AAAUUGAAGAGUUUGAUCAUGGCUCAGAUUGAACGCUGGCGGCAGGCCUAACACAUGCAAGUCGAACGGUAACAGGAAGCAGCUUGCUGCUUUGCUGACGAGUGGCGGACGGGUGAGUAAUGUCUGGGAAACUGCCUGAUGGAGGGGGAUAACUACUGGAAACGGUGGCUAAUACCGCAUAACGUCGCAAGACCAAAGAGGGGGACCUUCGGGCCUCUUGCCAUCAGAUGUGCCCAGAUGGGAUUAGCUAGUUGGUGAGGUAACGGCUCACCAAGGCGACGAUCCCUAGCUGGUCUGAGAGGAUGACCAGCCACACUGGAACUGAGACACGGUCCAGACUCCUACGGGAGGCAGCAGUGGGGAAUAUUGCACAAUGGGCGCAAGCCUGAUGCAGCCAUGCCGCGUGUAUGAAGAAGGCCUUCGGGUUGUAAAGUACUUUCAGCGGGGAGGAAGGUGUUGUGGUUAAUAACCGCAGCAAUUGACGUUACCCGCAGAAGAAGCACCGGCUAACUCCGUGCCAGCAGCCGCGGUAAUACGGAGGGUGCAAGCGUUAAUCGGAAUUACUGGGCGUAAAGCGCACGCAGGCGGUCUGUCAAGUCGGAUGUGAAAUCCCCGGGCUCAACCUGGGAACUGCAUUCGAAACUGGCAGGCUUGAGUCUUGUAGAGGGGGGUAGAAUUCCAGGUGUAGCGGUGAAAUGCGUAGAGAUCUGGAGGAAUACCGGUGGCGAAGGCGGCCCCCUGGACAAAGACUGACGCUCAGGUGCGAAAGCGUGGGGAGCAAACAGGAUUAGAUACCCUGGUAGUCUACGCCGUAAACGAUGUCUACUUGGAGGUUGUGCCCUUGAGGCGUGGAUUCCGGAGCUAACGCGUUAAGUAGACCGCCUGGGGACUACGGCCGCAAGGUUACAACUCAAAUGAAUUGACGGGGGCCAGCACAAGCGGUGGAGCAUGUGGUUUAAUUCGAUGCAACGCGAAGAACCUUACCUGGUCUUGACAUCCACGGAAGUUUUCAGAGAUGAGAAUGUGCCUUCGGGAACCGUGAGACAGGUGCUGCAUGGCUGUCGUCAGCUCGUGUUGUGAAAUGUUGGGUUAAGUCCCGCAACGAGCGCAACCCUUAUCCUUUGUUGCCAGCGAUUAGGUCGGGAACUCAAAGGAGACUGCCAGUGAUAAACUGGAGGAAGGUGGGGAUGACGUCAAGUCAUCAUGGCCCUUACGACCAGGGCUACACACGUGCUACAAUGGCGCAUACAAAGAGAAGCGACCUCGCGAGAGCAAGCGGACCUCAUAAAGUGCGUCGUAGUCCGGAUUGGAGUCUGCAACUCGACUCCAUGAAGUCGGAAUCGCUAGUAAUCGUGGAUCAGAAUGCCACGGUGAAUACGUUCCCGGGCCUUGUACACACCGCCCGUCACACCAUGGGAGUGGGUUGCAAAAGAAGUAGGUAGCUUAACCUUCGGGAGGGCGCUUACCACUUUGUGAUUCAUGACUGGGGUGAAGUCGUAACAAGGUAACCGUAGGGGAACCUGCGGUUGGAUCACCUCCUUACCUUAAAGAAGC